CCAUUCCUUGUUGGCGUGUCGUAUGUUGUCGUGGGAUUCAGGAAUGAUGCUGGUGUACUUAUACGAACUGAGAGACUAAGAACUAAAGAUAUUACACAAAAAGUGAAAGCAAAGAACUACUGGCAGGGUGGUGUCUGCUUGGCCUUUGCUGACGAGGUUUUAUGCUGGCUGUAUGGCACUGUCAAAGAAAAUGAAGACUAUGUUCUGCAAUUUGCACACCCGUUCCAUCGAUUGGAACUAUUAAAAGCCCAGUCUCCAUGCCCCGAGGCAAUAACUCUGCAUGUGGAACAGCUCACCGGUGCAACAAACUAGAUCUGUUCCCUAGCAAAGCUUUGGCGCUGAUGUUUCGCUAAACGGACAGCUUUGAGGGACCUUAUGUAACAGCGUCGCGUCUUAGAAUGGUUCGAGCUAUAGUUCGAGGGGCUGAUGCGGAUGCAUAAGAGACUGACGGUGUCAUGCUAUAUGUUCGGUCGGUAACUGGAGGCAGUACGGUCACGGUUUUCUCUUUGAGUGUCCAAAGAGAUUUUGAAGCCAUCGAACACUGUAUUUCUUCUGUAAUACCAAGUUAUAAAUUAGGGAAGUGCAGAGUUACACUGCCAUUGUAACGGUUCAUCGCUCAAGGCACCAACGAUGUGUAACUUCUGUACCAAUGAUGAUAUUGAAUUUUAAAGACGGAUGCUGCCAUGCCAUGGUAACAUGCCAAGAACACCCCUUGGAGUUAUGUAACUAGCGGUAUAUGCUAAGAGUUUCUUUUCGGA